GGUUGGUCCAAUCCAUAGGCUU
rnacentral:miRNA from 1 species